UACGUAGGGGGCUAGCGUUGUCCGGAAUCAUUGGGCGUAAAGCGCGUGUAGGCGGUUCGGUAAGUCCGCUGUGAAAGUCGGGGGCUCAACCCUCGGAUGCCGGUGGAUACUGUCGGGCUUGAGUACGGAAGAGGCGAGUGGAAUUCCUGGUGUAGCGGUGAAAUGCGCAGAUAUCAGGAGGAACACCAAUUGCGAAGGCAGCUCGCUGGGACGUUACUGACGCUGAGACGCGAAAGCGUGGGGAGCAAACAGG
rnacentral:rRNA from 1 species